rnacentral:sRNA from 1 species
ACGACCCACCAAUCGUUCUGGUGGAACGCGAUAGUAAAACGUGAAGGAUAACGUUGCGUCAGCAACGGCCCGUAGGGCGAGGCGAAGCCGAGUCAUCCUGCACGACCCACCG